rnacentral:misc_RNA from 1 species
UCCGAGUUGACCCCGGCAGUCUCCUAUGAGUCCCCACCAUAACGUGCUGGCAACAUAGGACGAGGGUUGCGCUCGUUGCGGGACUUAACCCAACAUCUCACGACACGAGCUGACGACAACCAUGCACCACCUGUAUACCAGCCUUGCGGGGCCUACAUCUCUGCAGGUUUCCGGUAUAUGUCAAGCCUUGGUAAGGUUCUUCGCGUUGCAUCGAAUUAAUCCGCAUGCUCCGCCGCUUGUGCGGGCCCCCGUCAAUUCCUUUGAGUUUUAGCCUUGCGGCCGUACUCCCCAGGCGGGGCACUUAAUGCGUUAGCGACGGCGCGGAUUCCGUUGGUUGGAACCCACACCUAGUGCCCAACGUUUACGGCAUGGACUAC